GGGACUGUAAUUUAUAAUAGCAAAUUUUUCAGAUUGUUGAACCUUAAUAUUCCAAGCAUGAGCAUGUGGUGUUAAAUAUCUGCAAGGGAAUCUUGUGUUGAUUACUCUGUCAAGUUCUUCAGAAGAUCGCAUUCAACAAAAUACUAAUGAAUGUCACCAUUGACUGAGUGUCUUCGCCAUUUCAGAGUCCUGCCUCUACCACCAGGUCCUAAGCAAGGCAGAGCUCUCCUGAAAUGUGACUAAAUAAACCUCUUUUCUGGCAAACAUAGCCUGCCUCCAGUAUUUCAUUACAGUCACAAAAACCAGACCAAUACAAUUAGUUUGCUG
rnacentral:lncRNA from 1 species